CUUUCUCCUCGUGCGGCAGAUCGACUGCUGAGGAGUACUGCUUUAAUGCUUGUUUGGUGUCUAUUCCCCCAGCGGAACGAUGCCCUGAAGCAAAGAAAGCUGGGAUUUGCAGAUGAUGUGAUACAAUAAGGAGUGGGAGCAGGCAUCUGUCUGGAGAUGGCCAUAAUGUGAAGCCCUUCAGAAGGCCUUGGGACAGAAGUGAGACUGCAAGGGCAAGAGAUUGUUCUGGGUGUUGAUGCUGAAAGCACAUUUGUUUGAGGAAGAAGGAACCCAAUGGAACAUGAGUGAGCUUGGCAACUGACCUUUGUAAACGUCACCUGUUUUUCUGUCCCUUCGGAGGACGAUGUGCUCAGGUUUGCUCAGGCCGUCCCUUACUCAGCUGUAGUUCAACAUGGCCCACAACAACAGCAGAUGAAACACUCUACAUCUCUUCUACCUCCUUCAGAUGACCUCAAGAUGGUCUGCCAGCGUUCCCAUAAAGCUGCGUCAUCUCCAUACUACAGAGGAAGAGUGUGGGGAUCACUGACUGUAGCAGUGAGUGAAUAAAAUCUUUAUGCUGAGUGCUCCUCGGGAUGGGAAACACACAGAGAACCUGCUGUGAAGAUGAUGAGAAUUGUCUCAAAGCAAGAUACAAACCUGCAGCUAUGAGAUGCCACGGUGAAUACAGAAAAUAACGGAGAAUCUC
rnacentral:lncRNA from 7 species